AGCCUUCUGUAUCCGUGCUGAGAUUUCAUCACACACCAGACCACAAGGGCUGNCAAGAUAAAUGAAGCG
rnacentral:pre_miRNA from 1 species